UACGAAGGGGGCUAGCGUUGCUCGGAAUCACUGGGCGUAAAGCGCACGUAGGCGGCUUUUUAAGUCAGGGGUGAAAUCCUGGAGCUCAACUCCAGAACUGCCUUUGAUACUGAGGAUCUUGAGUUCGGGAGAGGUGAGUGGAACUGCGAGUGUAGAGGUGAAAUUCGUAGAUAUUCGCAAGAACACCAGUGGCGAAGGCGGCUCACUGGCACGAUACUGACGCUGAGGCACGAAAGCGUGGGGAGCAAACAGG
rnacentral:rRNA from 1 species